AUUGAACGCUGGCGGCAUGCCUUACACAUGCAAGUCGAACGGCAGCACGGGUGCUUGCACCUGGUGGCGAGUGGCGAACGGGUGAGUAAUACAUCGGAACAUGUCCUGUAGUGGGGGAUAGCCCGGCGAAAGCCGGAUUAAUACCGCAUACGAACUACGGAUGAAAGCGGGGGACCUUCGGGCCUCGCGCUAUAGGGUUGGCCGAUGGCUGAUUAGCUAGUUGGUGGGGGAAAGGCCUACCAAGGCGACGAUCAGUAGCUGGUCUGAGAGGACGACCAGCCACACUGGGACUGAGACACGGCCCAGACUCCUACGGGAGGCAGCAGUGGGGAAUUUUGGACAAUGGGCGAAAGCCUGAUCCAGCAAUGCCGCGUGUGUGAAGAAGGCCUUCGGGUUGUAAAGCACUUUUGUCCGGAAAGAAAUCCUUGGCCCUAAUACGGUCGGGGGAUGACGGUACCGGAAGAAUAAGCACCGGCUAACUACGUG
rnacentral:rRNA from 1 species